ensembl:lncRNA
GCGUUAUCCCCUGAGACCGAGUUAAUCAGGAUUUAUGCCUCACCCGCAUUUUAGAUGGUUGGUCCCCAGUGUCUAAAGAAGCGGGAUGUUGGAGCAAGAGAUGGAGGGAUGGGUUGCUGGAAGAACAAGAGAGCGGUGGGGUGUGCUGUGGAGCCACCGCGUCUCUUUGGCAAGAGAAGUGCUCUCCUUCCUAGAUGUCACCCCAGAUUCCAGCUAGUCUCUGGAGAAGGUGACUCAGUGGUAAAGAAUCUGCCUGCCAGUGCAGAAGAUGCAGGUUCAAGCCCUGGAUCAGGCAGAUCCCCUGGAGGAGGAAAUGGAAACCCACUCCAGUAUUCCUGCCCGGACAAUCGCAUGGACAGAGGAGCCUGGCAGGCUACAGUCCAUGGGGUCACAAAGAGUCAGACGUGACUAAGCGCGCAAGCAUAAUCCAGUCCUCCAACAGCAACUGGUGGGGAAGUUUUCAAAGGAAGAUCCUUAGAAACCGGGCCUUCUCUGCAGGCUGAGUGAGCUGGAGCCCCAGAGGCCUC